rfam:Aedes albopictus isolate Foshan contig110845, whole genome shotgun sequence.
AUAACGGUCCUUUUCAGGAUCACCGAUAAUUAUAUUAUUAUAGAGU